AUGCAUAUAGAAAUAGAUUUAUUUUUACGUCGGUCCCGGGACAUGCAUGCAUUAAUUUUUUUGUUUCUAUAUUUUAUACUAACUUAUUUUCAAGUGUUUUUAAUUUGUAGGUAAAGCUUAUGUGGAGACGAGGGGAUCCGCAAAGAUCCUUCGAUCUCGAUUUCAAAUCCAAGGUAAGUGAUUUUAAUAUUAUUUUUUUGUUUCCUAUACAUAUAUACUAAUAUCAAUUUUAAAUCUUUUUAGAUGCAUACGAGAGGGAGUGGCCGGAUGAUCGGACGACCGAAUACAUCAUAGGGAGUAAUCCGUCCCUUUCCUUUUACAUUUAUGCAUUUUAUUUAAUUUAGCAUUAUGC